AUCCCAUGGUGUGAGCACUUUCGCAGCAUAUUCUUGAACCGAUUCCAGGCUUCAUUGAAAUUCUCUGAUUCGCCUUGGCAAAAAAUAGAGAUGUCGUGCUUGAGCUU
rnacentral:snoRNA from 1 species